rnacentral:lncRNA from 1 species
AAUAACGUCCAAAUUGUCAACAUGAUACUGAUUUGUGGAGUAAAAUUCAAGAAUGCUCAGAAGAAUAUUUCCAUGAAAAGAUACUGGAUGAAGCGCAAAUAUCAAGGAUAUUUCACUAAUUUCAUGGAGUAUAGAAGUCAAAACUUUAACCAACUGAGUAUAAUAAAGAAUGAAAUAACAAAAGAAAUCACCAGAAAUGCGAUAGACCGCAUAGACAUGUUAUUCCAACAGAAUAAUAAAUAAUGGAACCAGGUCAUGCGUAAAACACAGACAGGAUGUUCCAACAGAAUGAUAAAGUACGGAACCAGGUCAUGCGUAAAUGCACAGACAGGAUGUUCCAACAGAAUAAUAAAUAAUGGAAUAACAGAAGAAUUUCACCAAGUAUAGGGUAUCCCGCGUAUACAGGUUAUUCAAACAGAAUAACAAAGAAUGGAAUAACAAAAGAAUUUCACCAAUAAGAAAGAAGGAAUACCCCUAACGAGUACAACAAAUAAUAUCCUUUACCGUAAAAAAAGAGUAUUUUGACUGGUAGGGAGAUGAUAUACUCAAAGAAAACUUGCACUACGCUCAAAGCUUUCUUAAACUCUAAAGAAAUACGCUCAAGAUUAUAGAAGAAGAACUCUCUCUA